rnacentral:tRNA from 1 species
GUCAGGUUGGCCGAGCGGUCGAAGGCGCCAGACUUAAGAGAUUGACGAGUCUUCUGGUCCACAUUUGUUGGCGUUGGUUCGAAUCCCACACCUGACA